rnacentral:tRNA from 1 species
GCCUUGGGCAGGGCGGCGGUGUCCAGUCCGGCGGCCUCCAGGGCCGCGUCGAUCCGGGCCCGGGCGGUGGCCCGGCGCUCGGCGCGCGACCGCAGCA